UACGUAGGGUGCAAGCGUUGUCCGGAAUUAUUGGGCGUAAAGAGCUCGUAGGCGGUCUGUCACGUCGGCUGUGAAAUCCCCGGGGCUUAACCCCGGGCGUGCAGUGGAUACGGGCUGGCUAGAGGCAGGCAGGGGAGAACGGAAUUCCCGGUGUAGCGGUGAAAUGCGCAGAUAUCGGGAGGAACACCAGUGGCGAAGGCGGCUCACUGGCCCGGUACUGACGCUGAGGUGCGAAAGCGUGGGGAGCAAACAGG
rnacentral:rRNA from 1 species